rnacentral:rRNA from 1 species
AGGAAGUAAAAGUCGUAACAAGGUUUCCGUAGGUGAACCUGCGGAAGGAUCAUUAAUGAAUUUGGAGGAGGGGGGGGAAGAUGGGGGAGUGGAGACUGUCGCUGGCUCUGGCGAGCAUGUGCACGUCUACCUUUCCUGUCUACCUCUUCUCUUUAUCUCACACCUGUGCACCCGUUGUAGGUCCUCGAAAGAGGAUCUAUGUAUUUCAUCAUCACACACAUAGCAUGUCCAUAGAAUGUACCAUACGAACGUCGUCCGACUUUGCGUCGGGGGGUGGUCGAUAAACAAAUAAAAUACAACUUUCAGCAACGGAUCUCUUGGCUCUCGCAUCGAUGAAGAACGCAGCGAAUUGCGAUAAGUAAUGUGAAUUGCAGAUUUUCAGUGAAUCAUCGAAUCUUUGAACGCACCUUGCGCUCCUUGGUAUUCCGAGGAGCAUGCCUGUUUGAGUGUCAUGGAAUUCUCAACCAUGUCUUGAUUGAUUUCGAGCCAUGGCUUGGAUUUGGGGGUUGCUGGCGGCGAAAGCGGUCGGCUCUCCUGAAAUGCAUUAGCGAUUGGCGGCAAGUUCUGACGUGCACGGCCUUCCGACGUGAUAAUGAUCGUCGUGGCUGGAGCGUCAAGGACAUGCAUGAAUCGUCUGUUCGCUUCUAAUCCUAGACUUUGACUUGACUUUGACUUUGACUUUUCGAGCUGGAGUUGAGAGGGGGGAAGCAGCUUAGCUACUAGUUGGUCGUGAGGCCGACGAAUGUGGGCUGCAGCCGCUCGCUCGCUCGCUCGCUUUGGAGGUCGGGGGAGGGGUUGGGUCGAGUUUGUUUUCGAAAUCUUGACCUCAAAUCAGGUAGGACUACCCGCUGAACUUAAGCAUA